UGGGGAAUAUUGCACAAUGGGCGCAAGCCUGAUGCAGCCAUGCCGCGUGUGUGAAGAAGGCCUUCGGGUUGUAAAGCACUUUCAGCGGGGAGGAAGGCGAUAAGGUUAAUAACCUUGUCGAUUGACGUUACCCGCAGAAGAAGCACCGGCUAACUCCGUGCCAGCAGCCGCGGUAAUACGGAGGGUGCAAGCGUUAAUCGGAAUUACUGGGCGUAAAGCGCACGCAGGCGGUCUGUCAAGUCGGAUGUGAAAUCCCCGGGCUCAACCUGGGAACUGCAUUCGAAACUGGCAGGCUAGAGUCUUGUAGAGGGGGGUAGAAUUCCAGGUGUAGCGGUGAAAUGCGUAGAGAUCUGGAGGAAUACCGGUGGCGAAGGCGGCCCCCUGGACAAAGACUGACGCUCAGGUGCGAAAGCGUGGGGAGCAAGCAGG
rnacentral:rRNA from 1 species